UUAACACAUGCAAGUCGAACGGGCACUUCGGUGUCAGUGGCAGACGGGUGAGUAACGCGUGGGAACGUACCUUUUGGUUCGGAACAACUGAGGGAAACUUCAGCUAAUACCGGAUAAGCCCUAACGGGGAAAGAUUUAUCGCCGAAAGAUCGGCCCGCGUCUGAUUAGCUAGUUGGUAGGGUAAUGGCCUACCAAGGCGACGAUCAGUAGCUGGUCUGAGAGGAUGAUCAGCCACAUUGGGACUGAGACACGGCCCAAACUCCUACGGGAGGCAGCAGUGGGGAAUAUUGGACAAUGGGCGCAAGCCUGAUCCAGCCAUGCCGCGUGAGUGAUGAAGGCCCUAGGGUUGUAAAGCUCUUUUGUACGGGAAGAUAAUGACGGUACCGUAAGAAUAAGCCCCGGCU
rnacentral:rRNA from 1 species